GACAGAGACGGCGAGCGUUAUCCAUGAGAACUGGGCGUAAAGGGUGCGUAGGAGGAGAUUAUUAAGAAAGCUUGACGGAAAUGCUUGUGUAUCGACACAAAUCUGUACUCGCAAUAUUUCUCUACUGGGAUACGAGCAGGUUAGUAGAAAGCAAUGUUUAGGCCACAAGCUGUAAAUAUUGAGUAAUACCGAUGGCGAAGGCAGCUAACCAGCCGUAAUCCGACUCUGAGGCACUGAGAUUAGGGCAGCGAUACGG
rnacentral:rRNA from 1 species